ACGUAGGGGGCAAGCGUUAUCCGGAAUUAUUGGGCGUAAAGAGUGCGUAGGUGGUUUUUUAAGCGUGAGGUGAAAGGCAAUAGCUUAACUAUUGUAAGCCUUGCGAACUGGAAGACUUGAGUGCAGGAGAGGAAAGUGGAAUUCCUAGUGGAGGGGUGAAAUGCGUGUAUAAUAGGAGGAACAUCGAUCGCGUGGGCGGCUUACUGGACUGUACUUCACUCUGAUACUUGUGAGCGAGUGGCGCAAGGAG
rnacentral:rRNA from 1 species